CCGAUACAUCAGGAGCGGUUUCAGAUAAGAAACCCGCCAACCGACCCAAGUGGGCACGGUGGUUUGAUCCUUAAACGGUAGAUGUGCCUCUUAUGAGGAAUCUUAAAGCCGCCUGA
rnacentral:ncRNA from 1 species